AGAGUUUGAUCCUGGCUCAGGAUGAACGCUAGCUACAGGCUUAACACAUGCAAGUCGAGGGGCAGCAUGACCUAGCAAUAGGUUGAUGGCGACCGGCGCACGGGUGAGUAACACGUAUCCAACCUACCGGUUAUUCCGGGAUAGCCUUUCGAAAGAAAGAUUAAUACCGGAUAGUAUAACGAGAAGGCAUCUUUUUGUUAUUAAAGAAUUUCGAUAACCGAUGGGGAUGCGUUCCAUUAGUUUGUUGGCGGGGUAACGGCCCACCAAGACAUCGAUGGAUAGGGGUUCUGAGAGGAAGGUCCCCCACAUUGGAACUGAGACACGGUCCAAACUCCUACGGGAGGCAGCAGUGAGGAAUAUUGGUCAAUGGACGAGAGUCUGAACCAGCCAAGUAGCGUGAAGGAUGACUGCCCUAUGGGUUGUAAACUUCUUUUAUAUGGGAAUAAAGUAUUCCACGUGUGGCAUUUUGUAUGUACCAUAUGAAUAAGGAUCGGCUAACUCCGUGCCAGCAGCCGCGGUAAUACGGAGGAUCCGAGCGUUAUCCGGAUUUAUUGGGUUUAAAGGGAGCGUAGGCGGACGCUUAAGUCAGUUGUGAAAGUUUGCGGCUCAACCGUAAAAUUGCAGUUGAUACUGGAUAUCUUGAGUGCAGUAGAGGCAGGCGGAAUUCGUGGUGUAGCGGUGAAAUGCUUAGAUAUCACGAAGAACUCCGAUUGCGAAGGCAGCUUACUGGACUGUAACUGACGCUGAUGCUCGAAAGUGUGGGUAUCAAACAGGAUUAGAUACCCUGGUAGUCCACACAGUAAACGAUGAAUACUCGCUGUUUGCGAUAUACAGUAAGCGGCCAAGCGAAAG
rnacentral:rRNA from 1 species